UGGGGAAUUUUGGACAAUGGGGGCAACCCUGAUCCAGCAAUGCCGCGUGUGUGAAGAAGGCCUUCGGGUUGUAAAGCACUUUUGUCCGGAAAGAAAACUUCGUCCCUAAUAUGGAUGGAGGAUGACGGUACCGGAAGAAUAAGCACCGGCUAACUACGUGCCAGCAGCCGCGGUAAUACGUAGGGUGCGAGCGUUAAUCGGAAUUACUGGGCGUAAAGCGUGCGCAGGCGGGUCUGUUAAGACCGAUGUGAAAUCCCCGGGCUUAACCUGGGAACUGCAUUGGUGACUGGCAGGCUUUGAGUGUGGCAGAGGGAGGUAGAAUUCCACGUGUAGCAGUGAAAUGCGUAGAGAUGUGGAGGAAUACCGAUGGCGAAGGCAGCCUCCUGGGCCAACACUGACGCUCAUGCACGAAAGCGUGGGGAGCAAACAGGAUUAGAUACCCUGGUAGUCCACGCCCUAAACGAUGUCAACUAGUUGUUGGGGAUUCAUUUCCUUAGUAACGUAGCUAACGCGUGAAGUU
rnacentral:rRNA from 1 species